CUAUCUCCCGGUUAGCCGGUGCGUGGGUGCGGUGUCAUGUCAUAACAAUAAACGACUCUCGGCAACGGAUAUCUCGGCUCUCUGCAUCGAUGAAGAACGUAGCGACAUGCGUAUACUUGGUGUGAAUUGCAGAAUCCCGUGAACCAUCGAGUUUUUGUACGCAAGUUGCGCCCGAGGCCUUUGGCUGAGGGCACGUCUGCCUGGGCGUCACGCAUCGCAACCCCCCAACCCACUCUACGUGUGAAGGGGAGGAAGUUGGCUUCCCGUGCCUCACCGGGUGCGGUUGGCCUAAAUUUGGAGCCUAAGGCAUUGGGUNGCUGUCGGCGAUAGGUUGGUGAACAAGGCCUUGGCCGUGCAAAGCAACCGGUCGUUGCAACCCUUUGACAGUACGUCGUCUCGUAGGCACCCAAGGAUGUUGCCUUGUUGCGCACACAAACGUUGCG
rnacentral:rRNA from 1 species